AUUGAACGCUGGCGGCAUGCCUUACACAUGCAAGUCGAACGGCAGCACGGGAGCUUGCUCCUGGUGGCGAGUGGCGAACGGGUGAGUAAUACAUCGGAACGUACCCUGAAGUGGGGGAUAACGUAGCGAAAGUUACGCUAAUACCGCAUAUUCUGUGAGCAGGAAAGAGGGGGAUCGCAAGACCUCUUGCUUUAGGAGCGGCCGAUGUCGGAUUAGCUAGUUGGUGAGGUAAAGGCUCACCAAGGCGACGAUCCGUAGCGGGUCUGAGAGGAUGAUCCGCCACACUGGGACUGAGACACGGCCCAGACCUCCGUACGGGAGGCAGCAGGUGGGGUAAUUUUGGACAAGUGGGCGAC
rnacentral:rRNA from 1 species